UCCAUUACAUUACAUUUGUGUAAUAUUCUAACCUUGAAGCAUUGAAUAUUACACAGAAAAAGGUGCAACCCAUUAACUUUAUUACGGGUGUGUGAAAAUACGCAGAUUGAAUGUAAAAUCGCAUUUAUUGAAGAUACAAUUUUCUCGCAACACUGUUUACUGCUUCAUCUGACCGGCGAUGGCCAGUGACGAUGCGACCUCGGAUGCGACGCCAUAUUUUGAUUUUACUGGCAUUUGAGUAUUGAGUAGUAAAUUUUAAGAUUAUUGUGUCCGAAACAUCAGAAUACAUUUCUAAAUAGCUGACGAAAGAAAUCCAAUUUGCUGUUGGAACUGCUUUGGUAUUUCCAUAUACGAAGCAAGGCAUAGAAAGCCGCUGCUAGAAGUUUUCAGCCUCAGGCGCAAUGGAAUGGAACGGUAACGAAAGUCAACCUAUUAAAUACGAUCGUCGAUCAAUUAAGAGUGGAAACUUACAGAGUAUUAACGACGGUACGAUGAUUGCGGUUUUGGAAGAAUACCAAGGCAUUGCCGAAAAUCUUGUCUUGGACGUUCGACUUCGUCGGUGGUUCGACCACUACAAUCCUAGGAGUGUCAGGGAAGAUUGAGGUGCUGUAACAGUGCAAAUCGUGAACGAGCGGUUUUGAAGUGCCUCCGAACGUUGACGUCUUCAGUUUUGCUCAGCAGGAUAUAUUUCCACCGUUAGUCUGCGGAUCGAACUGGAUCCUGGAUUUCUGAUGGUUCAUCAAAAUGUAUCGUCGUUGCAUGCGACCUAUUGAAGGCGACGGGUAUUGGGCAACCCAGGUAACCGGAUAUAUAGAAGAGCCAGUAUAAAACUUGAUAGCUCUGUGAUCUCGUCUGUGGUGAUAGCAUUAUUCGGCUAAUUCCAUUCCUCGCGACUGGCUGGAAAAUGCGCUUGCGUGGGCGAUCUGCGCCAAGAACCUGCUGACGAAGUAGUGAUAUUUAUGUACACAGAUUCAUAAUACAUUAAAUAUACGAAUCUUUAAAAAAAAAC